CCCCCACCUGGUCCCCCUUAGGGCACAAACCUAAGCUUUAAUCUCCGCCUGGGCUCUUCUUUGUUUGGCUUUCUCUUAAAGGCGAUGAACCAAUCACCGUCGUCGAGCAACAGACCGGGUUUGAUGGAGCCGCCGGUGCUCGCUCGUUACGGGUCCGCACCGGGGUCGCUGAUGGCGGGGAUCGCGGAGUCGGUGAUUGGCGGCGGCGGAGGCGGCGAAUUCUCGGCCGUCGGAUCGGAGAGCAUGAUGAGCCGGUUCUUCUCGGGGGACUCCUCGUGCCUCACGGCGGAGUCCAGCUGCCGGACCACCGCAUCUCCCAGGAAGGAGAGCGGUUUGCAGAGAUCGUACGGAUUCGGCGAGCUCAACGUGGCGGCCGAUCUGAAGACGGCCGCCGGUGGGUCCCAACUUGUCCGGCACAGUAGCUCGCCUGCUGGGUUCCUCGCCCACCUCACGGUGGAUCCCGGUAUUUCUGCGACAACGGGGCAUAUAAACUAUUCCCAUACAACGACUGAUGGUGUCCAUGUUCUGGAAAAUAGAAGGUUGACAUCCCAGUGGAGCUUCUCGAGGCAGGAUUCACUAUCACAAAUCUCUGAGAUGAGUAUCCCGGACAUUGGAGAAAGCAUCACUGCUGGCAAUAGCUCUGAUGAGGCAGCUGGGCAUGUUAGCCAGUCCUAUAUUUCUAACAAUUUUCCAGUUGGAACAUGGGAUGAUACCAAUUCGAUUGUAUUUUCGGCUCCUCCAAGCAAACGAGCCAAGGAUAACAAUGGGGACAUUAUUACUAGUCUCAGUAACAUUGACUCUCAGUUUAGCCUGCCGAGUACAUCAUUAGAUAUGUCUACCAUUGAGAAGUAUCUCCAAAUGCAAGAAGAUUCAGUCCCUUGCAAAGUUCGAGCUAAGCGGGGUUGCGCAACACAUCCCCGGAGCAUUGCUGAGAGGGAUAGAAGAACAAGAAUUAGCAGGAGGUUGAGGAAGCUGCAAGAUUUUGUGCCUAACAUCGAUAAGCAAACAAGUACAUCAGACAUGUUGGAUUUGGCAGUUCAGUAUAUUAAAGAGCUGCAGAGCCAGAUUGAGAAACUUAACCAAGAACAAGCAAAUUGCGUAUGUGGAAGAAAGCAAGAGAAGGUUUGAGAAAACCCCAUUUUUAUAUAUAUAUAAGGGCAUGCUGUUGUUGUUAGUAUUAGAGGGGAAGAAGGUCUUCACGAACUUUUCUGCCAUGGAAAGAAUGUUUGAAGUAGCCGCAGUAAACCUAUCAGGAUCAUGUUCUAUGGCAAAGCAGCCUGCCGAACCAACACGUUUAUUGACAACAAAAAUUGACAUCAGGAAUGGUGUAGAAUUCAUAGGGGGGAGCAGAUAAGUUUGAAUAUCAUGUGCAUGAUGACCAAUGUAAACAAAGAUUAAAGAUGGACCAAGUUUAGAGUUACGUUUUGCAAGUUUUUUCCCAGUGAAACCAAGUCUGACUUUGGGUAUUU